UACGUAGGGGGCUAGCGUUGUCCGGAUUUAUUGGGCGUAAAGAGCGUGUAGGCGGCCAGAUAGGUCUGCUGUGAAAACUCGAGGCUCAACCUCGAGCUGUCGGCGGAAACCAUCCGGCUAGAGUCCGGAAGAGGAGAGUGGAAUUCCCGGUGUAGCGGUGAAAUGCGUAGAUAUCUGGAGGAAUACCGGUGGCGAAGGCGGCAUCCUGGACCGGCAUUGACGCUGAGGAGCGAAAGCCAGGGGGAGCAAACGGG
rnacentral:rRNA from 1 species